AACGAACGCUGGCGGCAGGCUUAACACAUGCAAGUCGAACGCCCCGCAAGGGGAGUGGCGCACGGGUGAGUAACGCGUGGGAAUAUGCCCUUCGGUUCGGAAUAACACAGGGAAACUUGUGCUAAUACCGGAUACGAUCUACGGAUGAAAGAUUUAUCGCCGAGGUAGUAGCCCGCGUAGGAUUAGCUAGUUGGUGAGGUAAUGGCUCACCAAGGCGACGAUCCUUAGCUGGUCUGAGAGGAUGAUCAGCCACACUGGGACUGAGACACGGCCCAGACUCCUACGGGAGGCAGCAGUGGGGAAUAUUGGACAAUGGGCGAAAGCCUGAUCCAGCCAUGCCGCGUGAGUGAUGAAGGCCUUAGGGUUGUAAGCUCUUUCGCCAGGGAAGAUAAUGACGGUACCUGGAAAGAAGCCUCGGCUAACUUCGUGCCAGCAGCCGCGGUAAU
rnacentral:rRNA from 1 species